CAGGCUGAAGCCCGCUGGAUUGGGUGCUUAGUUGUUAAUUAACGUUUUACGGGAUCGAGGCCCGUCGGUCUGG
rnacentral:tRNA from 1 species